GCCGUGUGUCGCGAGCGCAGUCACUGUGGAGGAGAGAGCGCGAGGCUGCGAUGUGAGAGAAACCUGAGGAGAAAAUAACGACAUUUUCGUGAAUGUUUUCUUACUUUUUCGCUCCAGUCGGGACAAAAAAGUACAAACGGGGCGUGAAAGAGUGCUGGACUCACCCAGAACAAGUUGAGUGAGUUGGAAAUGGCGAGUAGGUGGAGAGAGAGACAGAGAAUCUUCCGUUAAACUCUGAGUAUUUGACGGCUUUGAGGAAUUUGUGUGAAGAAACGGUUUAUUUGAGCUCGUUGUGUAAACAGGCAGGGAAGGUGCCUGGAUGAGUGAGAGACACUGGUGGAUUCAUUUACCGUGGAAAAAAAUCAUCCAGCUCUGACUUUGACCGUAUAGACGGGACGGGAGCGAGGCUAACCUACGUCGACGGCAUUAAACAUUUUUACGAGUUGCCGGGAUGUUAUAAAAGCCUGGUCGUUUCUGCGGGACAGCAGGACUGAGAGAAGAAGGUCGAGAGCCGGGAAUCGGAGGAUAUUAUGGCUCUCUCAGCGGUCUCCCUCUGUUUCAUCGUCCUCGCCUCCGCUAACUUGCACCUGAGCCACGGGAAUAACCGCCAUGCCGUCUACUGGAACAGCUCAAACAUUCAGUAAGACUGCUGCUGCUGCUGCUGCAAGGUAGUGAGGUAGUGAUUUUUCCGGAACUGAUGGGGCAGUAUAACGAAGAAGAAGGAAGGUAAUAAGAUAACAACAAUACUUUUUUUUAUUUUUUUUUUUACUUUUUCCCAUUUUCUCCCCAAUUUACAAUUACCCAACCCACUCAUUAGACCCCUAUUACUAGUAAUGCCCCAACACACCAGAAGGGUGAAGACUAACACAUGCUUCCUCCAAUACAUGUGAAGUCAUCCACCACUUCUUUUUGAGCUGCUGCUGAUGCAGCAUUGCCGAGUAGCCAGCGCACUCGGAGGAAAACGCAGUGACUCGGUUCCAAUACAUCAGCUCACAGACGCCCUGUGCUCACAGACAUCACAGUAGGAGUGAUGUGGGUAGAAACCGCCAUCUACCCACCCGGAGGGAGCAGGGCCAAUUGUGCUCCCUCUGAGCACCAGCAGCUUGAUGGCAAAGCUGCAUGAGCGGGUGUUCGGACCUGCGACCUUUUGGUCAUAGUGGCACCGCUUAGGCCACUACCCCAGAAGAAAGUGAAACAGUUGAGGAGAAAAGAAGAGCAGGAGGAAUGGAAAGAAGAAGCAAUAAUUCAGGAAAUUAGACAACUGAUCCUGUUUAAUAGCAUAGUGACUACUGAUGAACUGAGCCAAUCACAAUGCUUGCUUUAAGCUAACCCUAAUACUGUUCAACCAAUCACAUCUGCUGCAAGCAGCCAUCAUUUUACCAUUGUUAAUUAUUUUUAUAGUGUUUACAGUGUUAAGUUAUUUAUUUAUUAUUAUACUAACAGUUAAACAAUUUAUUGCAGA
rnacentral:lncRNA from 1 species